ACUAGACAAAUAGUAAUUAAAGAUGAAAGUGCUUGCUUAGGGAAAGAGUUGGUUGGCUUCCUGGUUCUAAGACGAUGGAUCCGUGGUCUCUGCCCUCAAAACGCUCACAACCUUUUUGAGUAGACAAGACACACAAAUCACCAAGAGAAGAGUUCAGAGAUAAAAGAGUGAUCUGUUCCCAGGCCCUGUUACUCCUCCCUGCGAACUGACACUGGGGGGUGUUUUUAGAAGAGGACUUGUGGGUGGGGCGACUAGGGAGUUGUUGCCAAAGGAAAAUGAUAACGCUUGUCCCGGAGGAGAGACACGAGAAAGAGCCAUCCAACUGUCAAGGUUGUGAGCGACAGAGAGAUGAUUAUCCUCCUAUGGUCUUCCUCAAAGCUUUGGAACAGAAGAAUAAAUUAGUUCUUAAAAGUUACGCAGAGGAAGGGAAGGGCAAGAUAAAUUGAUUCAGCUAGACGACGUCUAAGAUCACCCGGGCGCUGGGGCAAGCAGACAGUCCGGCUUCCACAUGGCAUCUGCUGAAUCGGAGUUUCCAAGGACACCCCUUGGGGAAGUGUGGUGGACGACCCUGAGUACCUGGGCACGGCUUACCCUUCAGUGUGACCUCAGAAUGAGCAAGCGGUUGUGUGGAAAGAAAUCUCCAGGCCCAAGAUGGAGUCGCUUCUGCCCAGGGGCCGCAGCAGCGACCCGAGGCUUACACAGCCUGCACGUCCCCGUGAGUGUUCCACUUGACCGGAAACACGGCAGAUCCAGUCAGCCAGCCCCCCCGACGCCAAACCAGCUCUGCGCUCUGUGCUUAACUUUGUUUGUCCCUCGUUCAUUUUCUGUCCUUCUCUUCGUUCUUUACUCUUGAUCCUACCCGAGCUUCCUGCUUUCCGCUCUGCUUGGCAGUUCACCCAAACCCUCGGGAGCCGAGACUGCCCAGUUCAUGUUAAAUAAAGUCUGUUUGUAUCACCCAAAUUGUGUUCUUUAAUCAUCUCUAACAGUUGUAAGGAGCAGGAUUAAGGGGAAGGAAGUUCUAACAAGGACUGGAUGGGAGGUCAGCUGAGAACGGGGGAGGCAGGAGCCCCCAUGAGGGGAGAGAUGCUCCGUAGGGUGUGGUGGGCGAUGGUGUGAAGACAGAUGAGCAGACAAUUAGACUAUCGUGAUCGCACUCCCUUGUGUGGCAACAUGCUUGGGGAUCUUCCCCUCUCAGGGCCACAGAUUCCCUGGCUACAGAAUGAAAUGGGUGAACCAGACACCAAGGACCCCUUCAGAUCCUGACACUACAUCUCAUAAUGCUUGGCAGCUUGGCUGAGGGCUGGUCCUGACCUCUGCUUGGAUAGUCCAGCCUCAUUUUGCCUUGCGCUGAGGGCCUCUGGAUAAAAACUCAAGUCAGAAAACCUAUCUGUAAAAGAAAAAACUUCUUGGAUGGCUAGUUCUCCCCCAAAUGAGUGACUGACCCCUGGCCCACCAAUGUCCCUCGGCGAUAACUCCUGAACAACCUCCACAGGCUUAACAAACAUUGCUCUAGUGAUCUAUCCCCACACCUCUUUAAAAGGGGACCUGAGUCUUAAAAAAGGAAAAUGGGUUUCUAGAAAUAGUCUUAGCCCUCUGUUGGGAGGCAGCUGAGAGCAUCUGUGGGGACAGCCAGAAGCCAUGAGAACCCCUUGAUUCCCCACUGAUCAAGACGACCAGUUGGUGUCAAGAUCAGUGAAGAAGAUAAUUCUGUGCCUAUGGAGAGCUUUGGAAUAAAAGCACAAUGCUAAGGUAAAAUGAGAUAAGUUUUCUAUCAAAGAAAAUACCACUCAAGUUUAGGUAGGUAAUUAAUUAAUUCACAAGUAGAUCCAGAGUGGGAGCGAUUACUGAACAAUGGUUAAUGAUAAAGAAUAAACCCUAAGGUAAGCGAUGAUCAAGAAGAUGAAACAGUUUUAGUUUGGAAUCCUAUUACAAUUCUAUUUCAAUAUAAAUAAGCUGACACCAGAAGCAAACGAUUAACCCCAAAGCCGCUGGCUGUUCAUUAGCUAAGGAAUAAUUUUACAUUUCAUUAUUAUUCAUGCUGGCUAAAUUUCCAUUAAAACCAAUUUAGUAAACUGGCCUGCUGAUGGGUUUGAAAUUAAAAGGAGAGAGAGAAGGCAGGGAAGGGACAAAACACGAAGCCGUCAUCUGAGCAUCUAGGGAUGGGAAAGUCAUGGGGGGCAGAUUGCCACUUUAAUUAAAGAUAAUGUCUCAAUUCACUUUCAAAAUGAGUCUCCGGAAAGUGCCUGGGAAAUUUUCCCUGGCCAGAGCGUCUGGCUCAUUCACGGAGGGGCGAUUUCUGUUGCCGGGAUGUCUGAUUGAAAGGAGGAACGGCCGGUUCCCAGCGCAGCCAGCUCGCCGUCCUGGCCGUCUGCUGAGCAGUCCCGGCGGGGAGAAAGGGCUUUGGGGCGAGCUCCUCAAAUAGCUCUGCUAGAGCCCGGGAAGGGGGGUCCAGGCUGCAUUCUUUGGGCCAUUACGCAGGCUUAAGGGCUUUUAUUAAACAUAGAAAUGUGACCAAACUACCAAAGACUGGCUUAGCUCACACUUCGGGUGCACUCGCUUUGGCAGAGCCCUGAACUAGGUACUUUCACGAAGUAGCUCAUUUAAUGCUUUUAACCUCUCUACUGGGGUAGAUUCUAACACUUGUCCCCAUUUUGCAAAUGGGAACGGCUGAGACCCGGGGGGUGAGUAAUGCUAUUGCUCAGCCAAGAUGGCACAGAGGCUGGAGUUCAAACCUGGGCCAUUCGCCCCUAGACCUGCGUACUUCACCGCUACGCUGCGCUGUCUCUGGACAAAAUAAUGAAACAACUCUGUGUCUUUUAAGUACAUCCAUCAACAGGCCACAAGGUACGUGGUGAGUCGUCAGUGGGAGCCAAUGGGCAAAGGUGAUGUACUCGGAAAUGUACUCUUCCUGAGGACUGCCAGGAGAGGUUGCUCAGAAGCUGGCUCACGCCUACGGGAGAGGCACUGGAAGCAAACCUGUGGUUCUUAGCCAACAGGGCAGUAUUCCCGGCACAUUUCAAGGAUCAGGUGUCCACAUCAGAAACCAACCCAGCUCUAGGAGCCCAAAAUCACUUUGUGGGGGGAAAUGGAGCUUUUUCUUUCACGUGCCUGGAUCAGGACAGCACCUGCUCUGGAAGCCAGAGGCCUCAGGGACUACAGAGCCCAGCUGCUUUGGAAUGCAACAGAAGAAAGAGCAAGAAUCUGGCUUUGGGUGACUCCAAUGCAGGAAGUAUUAUGUACCCACAAGAGAAAUAGCCAUGCAUUCUCUCCUGGCCUACAGGAGUUCUCAAAGGCUAGUUCCUUAGGAAGUCUUGAGCAGGACUCAUGUUGGCUUUCUGCUUCCCAUCGGUGGACAAGGUGGACAUGGAAACUCUAUGGUUGGUGAGUUCCCUACUUGGAUCACCCCCCACCAAGGAUCCCCAUUACCACCUGGACCUGCCUGCCCUCCUCUAAGCCCGAACGAGUUAGAGACCGUGUCCUAUGCACCUUCUCAGUCCUGCGUGGUCACUUAGGCAUCAGAUGCCUGAUCCAGAAGAGCAGGGUAGUCACCCAGCCUGGCUCUGCCACCACCUGCUCUUCCUCCAUCUAACUCCAUCUUCCUCAUCUAACCCUGGGCAAGCCCUGUAACCACAGUGCCCAUUCUCUUCAUUGGAAAAGGGUACUGAUGGCAGAUCUACUGCUUCAUGUGGCUGUGUUGUGAGGGUUGCCUAGAUAAUGUAUCUGAAAUGUUUAACGCGGUGCUGGGCACAUAUUAAAUGCUAGAUAAAUAAUGGCCAUGACUCCCAAUAAUAGUAAUGCAAGUGUCAAGUUUGAUGGCCAAGAUCUGGGGUUUGGAAACAUGCAAGGCUCAUUUACAAGCUUUGUGUAAAUGCCUAUGCUGGGUUCUCCACCAAGGAUCCACCUUAACCUCCCAGACCUGACGCCUUCUUCCUUUUAAUAGAUCUGCUUUCCCCCCAGGCCUGGGCAAGCCCUCAUUUCUCUACCUAAUGGGAGAAGCGAUUCUUUGCCAGAAAAGGGGGAGACAUCCUUAGAAAGGCCUCUAAAAGGCUGCCAUUUAUGGUGCAGAGAGAAGACCAUAGCUACUCUUUCAAUGACACAUGGACAAAAGCUCUUGUUGUGGACACAAAUAAGAAAAGUUGAACCCUUUGCCCGGUGUAAUUCACUUCAUUUAUUGACCAGGGUUCUCUCCCCCAAUCCCCGGUUCCUUUGCAUUUGUCAGCGGUUCAGAGACCCCUGGCAUUCAGCAUGAUUUGUAAUGUAAAUUAUAUAAUUGUACUUUCACAUAUUUUAACAUCAAAUGAAAUGAUUGACUACAGAAUAGGAGCUGUCUACAGGUGGGGGUCAAUUACCAUCUGAAUAAUCACAGUGCCACACAAGAAUAGCAUAGCCGCUGAGCGUGACAUAUUUUUAUCUCUAUGCAUUUCAAUGAAGUCAGGCUGGUACAUAAAAGGUUAUCACCUAGGAAACAUAUUUUCCUAAGCACAAGUUAAACAUGCAAGUGAGAUCAGCAAAGAUAUUCAAUUUAGCCAGUCAACCCUAACCUAUUAAUAUUUUAACAAAAUCCAGUGAGGAUAAUUUUUUUCUUUGAUCCCAUUUCAUGUGAGCAGCCGGGAAAGGGAAGAAAAAUUAAAAACAAAAUAGUCAAGCAUACAGAAUGAGGUUAUGCAUUAAGUGGGCUAUUUAAUGUUUCUGGCAUUUCAUAGCCCAGGGGAAAGUGUGGAUGGAUUUAACAAUCAAGAGCUGUGUUCCCUUGGCCACAAAGUUCGAGAAACAUAAAAUAAUCUAUACUUCCAAGCUGACAAAUCGUACCUGACACCCAGCUUCAUCUCACCGGGACUCAGGAGAUCAGCGUUAAUCAUAUGUUACAGGGAGUAAAAAGAAAAGUAAAUCACACCAGGCUGAAAAGUGAGAUGGAAGGUCUUCGGGCAAGGAUUUUAAUCAAUAAUAUGUGCGAUGAUCACCAGAAGCUAUUGUUUUAAUCUUCCAAUAUGAAAAGAAACGAAUGCAAAACACAAAGCUACCAAGAACCAGCCCCACUUCCAUGAUGCCAUGUAAGAACCAAAACCAGUCUGGCGGCUCAGCUUCCCAUUUUGACUCAUGACACACACAAUUUCUUUCUAAUGGGAUAAAGUCAAGCCCAUCCUUUAAGUUGCCUAUUUCUGGAGCCUCAGCUGCUGCCCAGGCCCUGGCUUCUAGGCUUGCUCGGUUUUUCUCAUGCACUCUAUGUCCACCGGUUUCGUGUGUCUGGCGUCCAUUCGUACUUCUUCUGAGGGCAUCUCCAUUAUCCUUGAGCACCUCCCCUCCCUGGCUUUCAGCCCCUGUGGUUUGGGUUCUGUUGGCUUCACCUCUGGCUCUGGGGAAGGGCAUGUCUCCAUCCUGGCAUCACAGAGAUGAAUUAGUUCAGGCAUGGGUGUGUGAUUCAUUAGAAAUCCAUGAAUUGCAACCUUGAGAGUCCUUGGUCAUACUGUCAUGAAAAAAGUUUGCUAAGGAUAGAACUGUGUGCCCCCCAGCCCCCAAAUUCAUAUUUUGAAGUCCUAACUGCCAGUACUCCUCAGAAUGUGCCCUUAUUUGGGCCUAGGGUUGCUGCAGAUGGGAUUAGUUAAGAUGAGGUCAUAUUGGAGUAAGGUGGACUCUAAUCCAUUAUGGUGGACCCCUAAUCCAAUAUGGCUGGCAUCCUCAUACAAAGAGGAAAUUUGGACACAAACAGAUAUGGAUAGAGAGAACCCUAAAUGAAGACAUUAGAAUGAUGGUUCUGUGAGUCAACAAACACCAGAGAUUGCCAGCAAAUCAUCAGAACCUCAGUGAGAACCUGGAACCAAUUCUUCCUCAUGGCCCUCAGGAGGAACUGAAGGGGUUCAGAAAGAGCAUCUCCAAGAUGUGCCACUUUGGCAUGGGGAUUACUGAGAGCUGAAGUCAAUCAAGGCCCAAGAGACUAACCCCUGGUCAGACUGCCAGACACCCAACUGCCAACUCAGCACAGCCUUCGGGUCUGAUGUUGCAAAAGAGCCUGGAGAUGUAAGAGAAAAUAUUCUAGUGUUGCCCAGCACGGAUGUGGGCUGAGCCAACAGGGAAAAGAAAUGUCUGUUUAUAAUCAAGAAAGAAAUCAAGAGCUGAUUAUGGGAGAGCUUCUGUCCAUUGUGCUGGAGAAGAAGCUCCGAGACGUGCUUGGUGAGUCAAAUCCCAGCCAUUUUGAAGAGACCCCAUAGUGUGCUCCAUGAUUUUAACAUCUGCUUAUUGUCUUGGCUUAAUUAAGCUCUUCCUUGAUGCUGAAUUAUUUUUCGACUCAACGAUCUUUUCUUGAACAUAAUGUUUAAAACAAACCCCCUGCCACAUGAGCAGGAAUGCAGUCUGUUAAGAACAUCUAUGAGUUGCCAUUAUUUUGAGAGCUUUGCCUACUUCUGUCAGUGAGCCCAUUUCUCAGGCUGGGACGGGUUCUUGGAGACUGAGAAAGUCACAGUGAUUUUUUUUCUCCACAAAGUUUCAUUUGUCAUGAAAAUGAACCUUUUGAUCUCAAAUUCUGAGGGUCUUUCACCUUAAAAGACUUCGGGCAGAGGACCCACACAUCAGAAAGACAUGAACAGCCUGGAAAACAAGCCCUCCCCCACCCAGGAUUUACAAUCUCAAUAGGAUUCCCUCAUGCCUGCAUGAAGGGUCUUGAGCCCAUGCAUGCCUGAUGUCACUGGCAUCUCCCCACACCCUUGUUCGAGAAGGAGGGCUGGAAUUAUUCUCAGCUCCCCAUGGGAAUGGAGGGUGGGCAGGAGGGAGCCUGAGAUUCGGAGAAGGCAAGUGUUUUGCCCAAGGUCACAGAUCUGGUAACGCAAGGUCAGGGUUGGAAACCAGAUGUCCUGAUUCCAUGUCCACCAGACUGGAAGCUUCUCAAUAUCAUUCAAAGCAACCUGUAUUUUAAGAGCAUGCAUUCCUGGGGAGCCUGGGUGGUUCAGUGGGUUAAAUGUCUGCCUUCAGCUCAGAUCAUGAUCCCAGGGUCUUGGGAUC